GCCCAGUUGGCGCAGCGGUAGCGCGUUCCCUUGACAUGGGAAAGGUCAUAGGUUCGAUCCCUAUACUGGGCACCA
rnacentral:tRNA from 5 species